UCAUUGGAUGUGUUACGCCGAAGUGCGGC
rnacentral:sRNA from 1 species